AUGAGUUUUAAUACAAGAGAGGCCAAGAUCACAGAGUAGCUCUUACGUUCACUGGAGACAUACGAGAGGCUCGAAGCUGACAAAAAGAAGCAGGUGCACAAGAAGCGGAAGUGCCCAGGGCCCAUAAUCACCUAUCAUUCGGUGACGGUGCCGCUUGUUGGGGAGCCAGGCCCUAAAGAGGAGAACGUGGAUGUGGAAGGACUGGAUCCUACUCCCACAGCCUCUGCGCUGACUCCUUGUGCAGGCACUGGACCCGUCGUCCCUCCAGCUCGCUGCUCCCGUACCUUCAUCACUUUUAGCGAUGAUGCAACAUUUGAGGAAUGGUUUCCCCAAGGGCGGCCCCCAAAGGUCCCUGUUCGGGAGGUCUGCCCUGUCACCCAUCAGCCAGCCCUGUACCGGGACCCUGUCACAGACAUCCCCUAUGCCACUGCUCGAGCCUUCAAGAUCAUCCGUGAGGCCUACAAGAAGUACAUCACUGCCCAUGGACUGCCGCCCACUGCCUCAGCGCUGGGCCCUGGCCCGCCACCUCCUGAGCCCCUCCCUGGUUCUGGGCCCAGAGGCUUGCGCCAGAAAAUUGUCAUCAAAUGAGAUGCUUAGUCCUUGGAAACCCCUCUCCUGCCUUGACUUGGGGCUCUUCACGUUUCCCCUUGUCUCCCUGCUUUUCCCCUUUGUCAGCUCUGAACUUUGCUCAGCCCUUUUCUAUA